AUUGGGGGGUACACGAGUGGCGAACGGGUGAGUAACACGUGGGUGACCUGCCCUGUACUUCGGAUAAGCCUGGGAAACUGGGUCUAUACCGGAUAUGACCUUCUCCUGCAUGGGGGUUGGUGGAAAGUUUUUGCGGUACAGGAUGGGCCCGCGGCCUAUCAGCUUGUUGGUGGGGGUAAUGGCCUACCAAGGCGACGACGGUAGCCGGCCUGAGAGGGCGACCGGCCACACUGGGACUGAGAACACGGCCAGACUCCUACGGGAGGCAGCAGUGGGGGAAUAUUGCACAAUGGGCGAAAGCCUGAUGCAGCGACGCCGCGUGAGGGAUGACGGCCUUCGGGUUGUAAACCUCUUUCAGUAGGGGGUACGAGCGCAAGUGAGGUACCUACAGAAGAAGCACCGGCCAACUACGUGCCAGCAGCCGCGGUAAUACGUAGGGUGCGAGCGUUGUCCGGAUUUACUGGGCGUAAAGAGCUCGAGGCGGUUUGUUCACGUCGUCUGUGAAAACCCAGGCUUAACCUCGGGCCUGCAGGCGAUACGGGCAGACUUGAGUACUGUGGGGAGACUGGAAUUCUGGUGUAGCGGUGGAAUGCGCAGAUAUCCAGGAGGAACACCGGUGAGCGAAGGCGGGUCUCUGGGCAGUAACUGACGCUGAGGAGCGAAAGCGUGGGUAGCGAACAGGAUUAGAUACCCUGGUAGCCACGCCGUAAAGGUGGGUACUUAGGUGUGGGUUCCUUCCACGGGAUCCGUGCCGUGCUAACGCAUUAAGUACCCCGCCUGGGGAGUACGGCCGCAAGGCUAAAACUCAAAGGAAUUGACGGGGGCCCGCACAAGCGGCGGAGCAUGUGGAUUAAUUCGAUGCAGCGAAGAACCUUACCUGGGUUGACAUAUAGAGGAUCGCCGGAGAGAUUCGGUUUGCCUUGUGCCUUCUAUACAGGUGGUGCAUGGCUGUCGUCAGCUCGUGUCGUGAGAUGUUGGGUUAAGUCCCGCAACGAGCGCAACCCUUGGUCUCAUGUUGCCAGCCGUAAUGUGGGGACUCGUGAGAGACUGCCGGGGUCAACUCGGAGGAAGGUGGGGGGAUGACGUCAAGUCAUCAUGCCCCUUAUGUCCAGGGCUUCACACAUGCUACAAUGGCGCGUACAGAGGGCUGCGAUACCGUGAGGUGGAGCGAAUCCCUUAAAGCGCGUCUCAGUUCGGAUUGGGGUCUGCAACUCGACCCCAUGAAGUCGGAGUCGCUAGUAAAUCGCAGAUCAGCAACGCUGGGUGAAUACGUUCCCGGGCCUUGUACACACCGCCCGUCACGUCAUGAAAGUCGGUAACACCCGAAGCCGGUGGCCUAACCCCUUGUUAGAA
rnacentral:rRNA from 1 species